rnacentral:lncRNA from 1 species
GGGAUUAGUUUGGAUGCGUAGGUAGGUAAGGGGAUUUGAUUUGCUGAAAGAAAAUGCUGCAAGUGUGAAAUGCAAAGUUUGGAAGCAUUGCUAACCUCUGCCGUCUCUGCCCGGCAGCCCGGGUCCUACGCGCUCUAAACAAAACGGGCACUUGAGUACGUAGUGCUGUGUGCUAUCUGGACAGUUCCUUUGCUACUACUAGUAUAUUGCAACCAUUUCCUUUCACUGGUCUGCAACCCAAGUUUAUUGCAACUUGCAUGAACAACGCUUAUUAGCCUUUUGCUUGCAUUUCAAAGAUUCUUCUUCUAAUUGCAU